rnacentral:sRNA from 1 species
AUUUGAAUAAAAUACACUCCCCAUAAUAUCACCAGAGAAUAUGCUCUACUUUUCUAUUUAUUGACAGUAAAUGCUAUACCUUUUACGCAGAGAUCUAACCUGCAAAACAGAACAUUAUGGAUCGUGGUGAAAAUAAUUCGGUAGUUCAUACGAUGAAUCAAAAGAGAAAGGUACAAAACCAUCGCUUUCCAGUUUCUGAAUUUACUCUCUGGUGAUUUAAUUGACCAGUAUAAACUUUACAUGUUAAAGUACUGACUUUUUCUUUCGAAUAUAAAACUUACCAUGAUUGUAGAUCUGGUAAACAACUUGUUAGGAUUUACAAAAAUUAAACCGUGAAUCACGAUUUUUGUUUUAGUCCGAAAUUAAUGUUUACACUAAAAUUAAUUGGAAAACUGUCAUUAUGGGUUGAGAUUUAUAAUUACUUUUUAUUAUGUUCUUUGUAAUACCUAAUGACCUAUUUCCUUACGCAAUGUAGACGGCAGGACAAGAUGAAGUAUUGUUGGUGAUUGGCGAGUGGGUCAGGGUUGAUAAUUUAGCCUGGCAGUUUGAACCUAAGACUGUCGAAGGAGCGUCCUUCAUUCGCCUCAGGACCAACAUGACGUACGGAGAGCUAGCUCAGAAGGUGAAAAAUAAAC